rnacentral:rRNA from 1 species
ACAAGGUUUCNGUAGGUGAACUGCGGAAGGAUCAUUA